UUUUGGGGGGGGAGCGGGAAUAACGGGCAUCGCCAGUGCCAGUUAAGAUUCUUAAGCCAAGACACACACCUUAAAAAUUUUGAUGUUUGUUUUGCACACGCACACCAACAUCAUUCGUGCUCGCCAGCACGCACACUGCCCCAAUUUUCAUAACGCGCAAGCUGUCAAACACAUUUGUUUGCUGUUGUCAAACGUGUUUGAAAUAGUUGGUUGUUUGGUGUUUUUUUUUCAUUUAUUCAAACGAUUUGCAAAAUUUAAGGUUUUGUUGAUUUCCCCAGCCUGUGGAACAACCAUCGGGGACGACUUUGCAGCUUCCUCCUCCGCCACCUCUUCCAAGCGGCACACCGCUUCCAUCCCCGACGACGAAAACGGCCACCGUGGCCAGACAAAGAUGAAAUCUGGUUCGAGGUGCUGCACUUCAACGUCGGAACAAGACCAUAGGCGGCAACGCAGCACCUUCCGCAGCCGUCUUCAAGACGGGCACGCGGACCACCGCCUCCAGGACACGUUCAUCGAGGAGGAUCCGGAGUGGGUGGUGGCCGGAAGGGGAUGAGAAGCAGAGGGACUGCACCGGCAACAGUGGCGCCCAAUCCGGAUAGCACUUCAGUAAGUGUUUCCGCCGAGGUGCGAUUGAAAACAAACAGUAGACUGGGGCGAACUUUCACUAGGCGUUCCUGUGGAACAGCAACAGUCCUUCCCCCAGCAGCAGAACCAGCGUCCAACACGGAGUUCAAGCGCCUGGUCUUCAUGGUGACCCAAAUUUGUGCCAGCAACUUAUGCUUAGGGCAUCUCCACCGCAGGGACCUAAUUGCGUUGCAAAGCUAAUUUGGCACCCGCGUCAAGCCCACCGCGGUACUUGUGCGAGAGCUAAUUUAGGUUCGAGUUCAUCCGUGUUCAUCCGAAUCUAAACAAAACUCAGGUUAGCUCCGGGAUCUACCGGGAGCAAAUCGUCUGACGGAUGGUUUUUUCAAGCAAAACAAUGUAAUUAGGCCAAUGUGAGUUUGUAAACAUAGAGUUUAUCCUGCUCACGUCAGUAAAUGUUUACAUUAGGAGUGAUGAUUGAUUUUUCGAUUUCAAUUCUUCAAGUUUGGAGAUAUUUUCCCUCCUGUGCUGCAAGUUUACGCAUGAAAAAUGACUUUUGGCCACCUUUUGGCAAUCUGGGGUGAAGCAGUUUAGUUUUUGAGGUCAGAUUGGGGCUGUGUUUGAUUAAUUUUGGUCAACGCAUUGUCGAUCAACUGCUGGACAUGCAAGAGACAAAUCAUUUGUAUUGAAUAAAAAGCAAAAUUCAAGCAAAACAUUUUAAAUAAGCCAAUACGGAUUCGAAAACAUGCAAUCCUGA